UACGGAGGGUGCGAGCGUUGUCCGGAAUCAUUGGGCGUAAAGGGCGCGUAGGUGGCCCGGUCAGUUCGUGGUGAAAGCGCGGGGCUCAACCCUGCGUCGGCCAUGAAUACUGCCGCGGCUGGAGCACUGUAGAGGCAGGCGGAAUUCCGGGUGUAGCGGUGGAAUGCGUAGAGAUCCGGAAGAACACCGGUGGCGAAGGCGGCCUGCUGGGCAGUUGCUGGACACUGAGGCGCGACAGCGUGGGGAGCGAACGGG
rnacentral:rRNA from 1 species